rnacentral:rRNA from 1 species
CCUACGGGGGGCAGCAGUGGGGGAUAUUGCACAAUGGGGGAAACCCUGAUGCAGCGACGCCGCGUGAGUGAAGAAGUAUUUCGGUAUGUAAAGCUCUAUCAGCAGGGAAGAAAAUGACAGUACCUGAGUAAGAAGCCCCGGCUAACUACGUGCCAGCAGCCGCGGUAAUACGUAGGGGGCAAGCGUUAUCCGGAUUUACUGGGUGGAAAGGGAGCGUAGACGGCUGUGGAAGUCUGGAGUGAAAGCCCGGGGCCCAACCCCCGGACUGCUUUGGAAACUGUGCAACUGGAGUGCAGGAGAGGCAGGUGGAAUUCCGAGUGUAGCGGUGAAAUGCGUAGAUAUUAGGAGGAACACCAGCGGCGAAGGCGGCCUACUGGACUGUAACUGACGUUGAGGCUCGAAAGCGUGGGGAGCAAACAGGAUGAGAUACCCGGGUAGUC